UUUGGCUGUUCUGGAUCCAGAGUGCGGACUGCGGCCUGCCGGAAGAAGUGCAGAGGGUUCAGGGAUACACUGCGGCCAACCCAAGCAUUGGAGGUACGGGGGUUGGACUGGUCUGGUUCCGUGGAAGAAGAGCAGACCGUGCACCUGCAGGCAGCAGUUGUGUGAUGGAGUGCGGUCAAUCCCUGACGUGCAGCCGAAGAGGAGGUGUAUGCUGACCCGGACGGAUCCCAACUGC